AAAAGGUGAAAAUUGAAGUGAACUGGCUGUUCCAGAGACCCUUCCCCUCUCAUGCAGAAAAACAUUGAUCUUCAUAGUUACUCUGCACCCAUAGGUGGCUGGAAGGUAAACUGCCUCAUGCUUUUGAUGAUGGGCAAAAAUUCAAACAUAGAAUACAUAAAAUGGGAAACUAGCAUGAUAAUAAGGAGAAGGGAGUCAUUUGAAGUCCAAAAUACAGUUGAUAACACACAACAAAAGGCAACAGAGAUCGGGUGCAGCAAAGGAACCCAUCCAGGCUGAAAAAGGAAGAAGGUGAUUGGUGCGUUGGGUUUCAUCAUCAAGAUCAAAGGUGAAGUCCCUAUCUUUUUGUACUGCACUUGAACUCCACGUUGAAGCUGAUAAUGAAGUCUAAGGAAGCUCAAUACAACAACGUUUAGUUUGAACUGCAUUUGUCAGAAGCUUGGACAUACAACGGAUACCUACCAACAACCAACAAGAGACAACUGAAAAUGCCGGUUAUGAAGCGAUAUGUUCUGAGAUUGUUCAUAUCAUUGAAGUAUAUCACUGCAAACGUGGUAGACAGAAGCAACGGUCGAAUUGUAGCAACAUCAUCCACUGCAGAACACAGCAUUAAAGAGUCACUUGAGUGUGGCAGGUCCUGCAAUGCUAAAGCAGCAACUGUUGUUGGAGAGGUAUUGGCCAGGAGGCUCAAAGUUGAGGGCCUCGAUGAAGGAGAAGGAAGAGGGAUUCAUGCAAACAUAGGUAAAGAAGUAGGGAAGAAAGGAUUUAAGAACCAAACCAAGGUUUGGGCUGUUAUGAAUGCUCUCAAGAACAAUGGAGUCAAACUCAUCCUCGAUGAUGAAAACGAUGACAAAAAUUCUUGGCCUAGUUCAUCAUAAAGAUAUCAUGAUGCUAUCGUUUCAGGUACAAUCUACUGAAAUAUGUAAUUGGAUUAUCAUUUCUUGCAUUUCACAUCUAUUUGGUAACUAUUUCUUCCUCCAUAGUUUCUUCCUGCACCUCCAUAAGAAUGCAUGAUCUGAAAUACAAAAUUUGUCUUUUUUACCUUCUCGUUUUGUGAUGAACUCUCCUAGUUUUUUCUUUUACAUUUUUCUGACGAUAAUAAAUG